GUGGGGAAUCUUAGACAAUGGGCGCAAGCCUGAUCUAGCCAUGCCGCGUGAGCGAUGAAGGCCUUAGGGUUGUAAAGCUCUUUCAGGGGGGAAGAUAAUGACGGUACCCCCAGAAGAAGCCCCGGCUAACUCCGUGCCAGCAGCCGCGGUAAUACGGAGGGGGCUAGCGUUGUUCGGAAUUACUGGGCGUAAAGCGCACGUAGGCGGACCAGAAAGUCAGGGGUGAAAUCCCGGGGCUCAACCCCGGAACUGCCUUUGAAACUCCUGGUCUUGAGGUCGGGAGAGGUGAGUGGAAUUCCGAGUGUAGAGGUGAAAUUCGUAGAUAUUCGGAGGAACACCAGUGGCGAAGGCGGCUCACUGGCUCGAUACUGACGCUGAGGUGCGAAAGCGUGGGGAGCAAACAGGAUUAGAAACCCGUGUAGUCC
rnacentral:rRNA from 1 species